CUGCUGCAACGGCUUCCUGGCGCAGCGGGACAACACCGAAUGGAGCA
rnacentral:ncRNA from 1 species